ACAAAAUCAAAACAACUAGCGAACCUGGCAAAGGACUUCUGGCAGUUUUGCCUCCACAACGCAGUGUCGGUUACUGCCGAACACAUCCCAGGAUUGGACAAUGAAUGUGCGGAUUGGAAUUUACGUUGCUUGAAAGACUCAGGGGAUUGGCAUCUGCUCCCUUCAACCUUUUGACAGAUCGGUUAUGGGAUCCGUUGCAACUGGAUUUGUUCGCAUCCAGG